GGGGCUGUGGAUAGUUUUUUUUCCUGAAACUUUCCUCUUAAAGUUAGGAUGCGUGUUAUACUCCGGUAAAUAAGGUACAUUUUCAGAUUCUUAACAGUAAUGUAGACCUAUUUGUCUAAGAAUGUUAGUGUUUGCAAGCAGAAGAAAUACUGCAGUUGCAAUCAACAAGAUAUUAGUAAGUGGUAGCCGGACACAGCUGGUAGAUGCAGUUGGGUGAUUAGCUAAUUUAUAUUAUGACCUCUGUAUUGCUCCCCCUUCUGUAAUUUUCUGAACAACCAGGCCUUUCAUAAAAGUGACCCAGCCAGCACUUUUUUUAUCCCUGCUGUGUGUAGCCCAAUUGUGGCUAUAAACAAGCAGAUUUUUUUAGGCAAUAAGACACAGUUCAGGUGUUCCACUAUUAAAGUUUACAUGUCUGGGUAAAAAAUAGAAACAAAAUCUUCCAGCAUCCCAAAAAAAGCCUGGGACUGCUGAGAUUUUUCAUGUAAGAAUGAACUAGACACAAUAAUGAGAAAAGCACUGCACAAAUUGCUUUCUCUAGAAUAAUAAAAAUAUAUAUAUAAAUAAAUAUAUAUAUAUCAUAGCUUGUGUCAGAUAAAUCCACUUGUUUAUGGCCAGUGCCAGAUAUGUCUUGCUGCUAAAAAUACACAAAUUAUAAGUACAAAUGAGAAGGGUAAAUUUAAUUAUCUGGAUAUGUAUAAAUCUGUGAUUGCAUAGUAUUUCUUGAAGCCAAACACUCAGAAAAGUAAAAGUUCUCCCUUGCAGUGGGGAUGCCUCCCACACUGCAGGAAUUAAAUGCCUGUUGCGAUCUAGGGGUCAAGAAAGGCAAUUUUACUUACCAGAUGCAAUACUCCUCCAGCAGAAAAAGCUUACAUAUGCUUCAGUGGGCUGUUCCUUGACGCCCUAUGUCAGUCUUAAUUACAUCAGGAGCAUCUGACUGCCAGAGCAUAUUAGAGAAGAGGCUACAGGAAGCCGUCUUGCAGUGCAGAGGAGCCUGCAUGAACAGAGGAUCGGGUAAACAUUGUCUUAAUUAUACAUUAACAGGACACAGCAAUUGAUUCUUAAACCAUGGAUUAUAGGCAGCCACCUACGGGUGGUUGGACACUGGCAAAAAGCUUUGGCGGGACUGUCCUCUAGUGCAUGAAUGCUCAACCUGUGGCCCUCUAGUUGUUGCAGAACUACAAGUCCCAUCAAGCCUCUGCCUGGGAGUAAUGCUUGUAACUGUUUCACCUUGCAAUGCCACAUGGGACUUGUAGUUUCCCAACAGCUGGAGGGCCACAGGAUGAGCACCCAUGCUCUAUGUAUUCAAAUAAACCUGCCUACUCUGAGGCUCCAGUUUUUGCUAGAGUUCUUCGGCGAUGGUCCCCUUCUCCUUUUGGGGAAUUUUUUUUUCCUGUUUUUACACCAGUUGUUCUUCCCCUCUAUAAAGAUCUGACUGUUUUUUCCCUUAUGGCUCACUUGCAGAUGCUGGAUUGGUUACUCUUGGUAUAUACCUAAGGGACUGUACCUGGACCCCCCAGCAGCGGGGCCAGCCUGUAGUGUUUGCUUUGGGCACUGGAUCCUGCAUGGUACUACUAGUCAGUUAGCCACAGCAUGCAUUUCAGGUCCAGGGCCAUGGUCCAUUCCAAUGACACCUAGACCGUGAAGACCCCUAUUGAUGUAUGCCCACAAUGAUGAGUGAAGCCUGGACCCUUACAUGCUGGUCCCUGGAAAUUCAUGUAUUUUUGGAUUAUUACGUGGAUCUGAAGUGCACACUACAUUAUAUCCU